UACGGAGGGUGCGAGCGUUGUCCGGAAUCACUGGGCGUAAGGGCGCGUAGGCGGCUCAUGAAGGCUGUGGUGAAAGUCCGGGGCUCAACCUCGGAUCGGCCGUGGCGACUCGUGGGCUGGAGCACUGUAGAGGCGGGUGGAAUUCCGGGUGUAGCGGUGGAAUGCGUAGAGAUCCGGAAGAACACCAGUGGCGAAGGCGGCCCGCUGGGCAGUGGCUGACGCUGGAAGCGCGACAGCGUGGGGAGCAAACAGGG
rnacentral:rRNA from 1 species